UGACACGAUGAGGAGGUAGAGGGAAGCUGACUCUGACAAGACAACCCAUGUUUCUGGGCUACAGGACGAUAUAUAUAAAAUAUUAGCAUGUUAUUUAUGAGUUAAACUAUGAUUUUGUCUUGUAUUUUAAGCGGUACUUCAACUUCUCGCUCUUUUACAUUGUUCUUGCAUAUGUUUGUGAAGAAUAGGUAUAUUCACAAUGAUAUGAGAUGAAUUCCUCAUUCAACACGGCAACAUGUACAGAAGGCUGUUCUCUGCUUCCCAGAAUGCAUUUCAACCUCCCUCAACAACAAAACUUCCAUCUGACUUCAAACACUGUUAGAAUCACUUCUCAGUGCAACAGUCACUAAUAACAUGGCCUUCUGCGGAUUAAAGAUGUCAUCUUUUCCCUACGGACAGUUAGUAUGAUCCUUCUCUCUGUGUAUUAUCUGUAAAGAAAGCUUUUUUUUGCUUGUCUGUGUUAAAGUGUAGUAUGUGCCGGCCUCCUCAGUGUCCAUUCUGUGUACACCCUCGGGCGAGGAGCCGACCUUUGGUACCAUACUUUAUAACACCAUAGUCUGAAAGAAAACAACUGGCCAUGUUGGACGGAAGAUGAAUUUGUGUUCAUGCUGCAAUCGGUGAAAGUCCGCGACAACAGCGGCAUCACAAACUAGGUCCGCGAGUUCAUUCUAGAUGUAUGCAUUCAUUGUCGUUGUUAUUUAUGUACCUUCUUUAUAGAGAUGUAAUUAACUCUUUAAACUGAACUGAACUGACUGGCUCCUGUAAAAGAGACACUCUGCACUUUGACACCACAUCCAGGAUUUACCGCAAAAGGAUGUGGCUGCUUUUCUGCAUUUAAACCGUAGAAUGAAUUUAAGUUGUAGGCUACUAUUGAUUAACUAAAAUUAGAUUAUUAGUUGCGUACUGCUUUUCCACGGUUGUGAUGUCAAAUUAGCUUGGGUGUCUCUUUUCAGCAGUUGUUUUGUGCUCUUUUGAAAUUGCAUGACCAAUUCUGGUGGCUGGCGCGUUUGACAAUGUGGCAAGAAAGAGCGGCAGAAAGAAAGCACAAUGCUAAAUAUUAUUAUCAUUCCUUUGUAUUUAUGUGCAAAGCUAAGCUGAUAUGUUGUGGUGGAUUUUUUUAUUUGUAUUAUACAUUUACAGGUGUUGUUCGUGUCUGCUGAAAAAGGACUAGUCCUCAAAAAACAAUUGGCCACUACAGCUGAUGGUGAGAAAAAAAAAGAAGCUACAUCCUUUGUUGUUCACAUGCCCUCCAAUCAACACUCCUGUUGUAUCCCAUGUCAUGUGACGCACCCCUGCAAGACAGCUCACAAGAAGAGGCGUAUGUGUGCACGUGUGUGUGAGAGGAAGAGAGAAAUGUGUGCUUGUGUUUUUAUGCGUGUGAGCUUUGGGGAAAGCAGAUCUCUGUAUAUAGAGGCAAAGGGAACAGUAGUGUGUGUAUCUGUGUACAGAAGUCUAAAGUUGAAAGUUCAAAGGUCGAAGGCCAAAGUUAACGUGGUGCACUGUAAUACUCCCAGAGGUCUUUGUGAAAUGUCAUGUCAGAUUGUUUUUGAUUAACACAAUAAAAUGAUGC
ensembl:lncRNA